GUAUUUAAAAGAGUAGUUAUUGUUGCAAACUCCAUUAGAAAUUUGAAUUGAUAUCAGUUUUGGAAAAAGGGAAACGGGGAUGUGAAAAAAGGGGGGGGGGUUUAAAUUUUUCUCAUUUCAGAUUUCAUAAAUAAAAAGAAAAUUUCUUCAAACAUUUUUUUGAAAGGAUUAAUAUUCAACAGCAUAGUGAAUUGCUCAAAGGC
rnacentral:lncRNA from 1 species